GCGCGACUGCAGACGGGUCGAUGCGCUUAUUUAGCGACCUUUUUAUUUGUCUGAAAUAACAAGACUGGUGAGUGCUUUAUUUCUUCCACACGUUUCCUGUAAGCCUCUCUGGGAACUCCAUAGCCGAAAUGGAUGGAGAUUCGCUGUUUGGUGUCUCAGGUCUGAUUAUGGAGAAUGGCAUCAGCAGCGUCUCCUGGAACCCUUUCUCUUCAGAUCCACAG